rnacentral:rRNA from 1 species
UACGGAGGGUGCAAGCGUUGUUCGGAAUUAUUGGGCGUAAAGGGCGCGUAGGUGGUUGUGAUAGUCAGAUGUGAAAUCCUUUGGCUUAACUGAAGAACUGCAUCUGAAACUUCAUAACUCGAGUCCUGGACAGGGUGGCGGAAUUCCCGGUGUAGGAGUGAAAUCCGUAGAUAUUAGGAGGAACACCAGUGGCGAAGGCGACUUGCUGGACUGUAACUGACGCUGAGGCACGAAAGCGUGGGGAGCAAAC